rnacentral:tRNA from 1 species
GCCCGGUUGGCUCAGUCGGUAGAGCGUGUGACUCUUAAGUUCUUGGUAACAGGUUCAUGAGGGAUCUCAAGGUCGCGAGUUCGAGCCUCGCAUUGGGCU